rnacentral:rRNA from 1 species
UACGGAGGGUGCAAGCGUUAUCCGGAUUCACUGGGUUUAAAGGGUGCGUAGGUGGGCAGGUAAGUCAGUGGUGAAAUCUCCGGGCUUAACCCGGAAACUGCCGUUGAUACUAUUUGUCUUGAAUAUUGUGGAGGUAAGCGGAAUAUGUCAUGUAGCGGUGAAAUGCUUAGAUAUGACAUAGAACACCAAUUGCGAAGGCAGCUUACUACACAACGAUUGACGUUGAGGCACGAAAGCGUGGGGAUCAAACAGG